rnacentral:SRP_RNA from 10 species
CUGAAGGCAGCAGCCCUGAGCUGGGACGGCGUGCCCGAGGCG